GCUAAAGGGCAAGCAAGCAAGAGCCUGUUGAAAGCACGUGAAACCGUGGCUUCUGUGUAUCAAAUACCAGGUAAAGAUGAAAUAAGCCUGAUUAUUUAAUCUACUUUGCAAUUGGGGAAACAUUUUCAGAUUAUAGUUCAGGGGAGAAGACCACAAUUGAACACAGGUAUCAAAAUAUCAUCCAUCACACUGGAGGUUAAGCCUUCAACACAGGAAGGAAGAGCACAGACAUUCAGUCUGUAAUACUUUGCAAUGUCAUACAUUUGUAUACCAUUUCACACCACUUCUCCCUGUUCCAACUCUUCCUAUGCCCCCAACCGCCAUCAUCUCAUCUCUUGAAUUCAUGACCUCUUCUAUGUCUAUUUUUGUUAUAGAUAUGUAUAUAUGUGCAUACAUGUGUGGAUAUAUGUGUGAAUGUACACACACACACACACACACACACACACACACACUCAUAUUAAUGUUGUCCUUAUUUCCAUGUUUUUAGGAUUGACCCCAUUAGGAUUGGAGUCUCAUCUCUGAAAAAAAUAAAACUGGUUUAUCUUCCCUCAGCAGACAUUGACUGUCUCUAACUCUUCAUCCAGGAGUGGAACCUUGUGAGCUUUUCUUCCAUCCAUGUUGGCAUGUGGACUGGUGCUGUCUUUGCAGGUCUUGGGCAGGCAAUCAUGAUGCUGAGAGUUAAUAGGAGCAACAUCCCUCUCCUGUUUAUAAGAAUCUGUCUUAGAGCAACCAAACUGAUCCUCUGGCUCUUACGUUCCUCUGCCCCUUCUGUGAUGUUCCCUAAGCCUUUGGUGUAGGAGUCGUGUUACAGAUGUUCCAUUUUGGGUGAGGCACACGAAAGUUGAUUAUUUUCUGUAGAUUUGCCAGGUCUCUAAUAGUCUCCAUCUACUUCAAAAAGACUUUUUUUUAGUAAGAGUUGCUCUUAUCUAUGGGUACAAAACUGAGUAUUUGGAAGGUAAUUAGAAACUACAUUACUUUAGUCAUAUGGCAGUAGUAAGUAGGCUCUCCUCAGGGACCUAUAAUUUCUUCAUCUGCAGAUUCUCGGUUAGAUAUACAGUCCCAGGCAUGAGUUCCCUCCAACUGAGCAGGCUUUGGGUAUAAUCAGAGAGCUGUUGGUUGCCCCCAAGAUACAGGUGCCACUAGUGUACCGUAGGGAUAUCAUUCUCAAUCUUUCAUUAUGAUUCUCAGACUUUACAACUAGGUAAGACUGCUGAUAAUUUUUUUUUCCUUUGGAAGCUUGCAUGGAACUUUCUGACACUGUGAAAACUAGCCUUCAACGAGGAAGCUUCCAGGCUGGCCCAAAGCUUGGAGCUGCUGCUUCUGCUUACUCUGCUGGGAGGAGAGUUCAGGGCCUUAGAGUGGUCCACAGGCUACAAGCACAACCGUCUGCCCAGUGAGCCGCAGGUUUGGAAACAUCACUGAAUAAGGCUGGUCCUCAGCCUGCCUCUGGCCCACAGCAUGAAGCUGCCAUAGUUGCAGCGCACUGUUGGUUGCCCUGUUGGGAGAAGGAGAGAGCAACAACUGAGGGAACUACAGGGCCAUAGCACUGUCCACAGGCUGCAAGCACAAGAGUUGAACUUAGUGAGCCUCAGGGUAGCCAGCACCAGAUCCUGCUCCCACAUACCCUGCCUAGCUGCAAGAUCGCCCUAACUCUGGGCAACAGCAGGAUACCAGAGAUUGGUGGUUAGCCCAGUAGUCAUCAGAGAUGCUUCUUCUAGCAACUGGAGGAAACCAAUGCAGAGACCCACCAUCAAACAUUAAGUCAAGCUCGGGAAAUUCUGCUGAAGAAAGUGAGGAAGGAUUGUAGGAGCCAAAGGGGUCAAAGACAUCACAAGAAAAUCCAUAGAAUCAACUAACAUGGGCUCAUUGGCACUUACAGAGACUGAACCAACAACC